CGUUCCCUCAGCCGCCACAGCCGUCACUCCCGAUUCGGGCGAUUCCGACGGAUAUUGCUGGGGUGGAGCACACCAGCGAGCUCUCCUUGCUCGGAUCCAUCCUUCCCUCCGGCAAGAUUUCCCCCUCUCGACCUCAACUGCUUGCCCAAAACCACUUCUCAUGCUAGGGUUUCGGCAUCCGGCAUCGCCUUCGUCGUCGACCCUUCUACGACCGCUUAUGGCGCCUCUUCUCCGUCGUCUACAGCGCCCCCACGCGCGCCCUCGCUUCCUGAUGGUCCACCUCGAGCAGGGCAGCACGGAGGACCUCAUCCCGUAGGAUCCAUGGACGCGGCGCACCUUGCAGCUGCCCGUCCCUGAACACCGUGGCUUGUCCUGCUCGACGACAGCUGCGGCGAGCGCGUGUGCUGCUCCUCAUCCUCAAACUCCAAGGAGAAGCGCCAGUACAACAUAAGCACGCCCCGCCCCUGAACAAUGGCCAUGGCGCUAGGGUUCUGCGACAGCCAGCUAACUAGUGCGCCAUACUUAUCUGCCUAAUCGGCUGAUUGGGGGUUCUGUUGGGUUGACAACUAGCGGUGUACAGGACGCCCUCCUCGAAGCGGCCAUCCCCGACGAGCUCUCUUCGCCGGAGGAGAUGGAGCAGCAAGUCCAGCACCCGCUUGGUCCCUGUGUCCUAUCUCGCGUGGACAAGCUCACCAAUGGCUGCGUCUUCCUUCCCUCCUAGCGUGGUGAGAUUCUCCCAUCUCCCGACUUUACCCCCAAAUCUGGAUGACACUUGCAAUCUGAAUACAAAUCAUGUUUUGGUUCAGUUUAGAUGUGGAUUCAGUUUCUGAGAUGUGAGUUUGAUUAGUUACAGAUGGUUUUGUGAGUUUGAAUGCAAAUCAUGUUUUUUAUAUAUGUCACUCUUGAUCAUAGCACAUCCCGGUACACCGCCAGAGACAUUCAUAUAGAGUCAUAUUUUAUUCUAGUAUCGAGUUGUAAUUCUUGAGUUGUAAGUAAAUAAAAGUGUGAUGAUCAUCAUUAUUAGAGCAUUGUCCCAUGUGAGGAAAGGAUGAUGGAAGCUAUUAUUCCCUCACAAGUUGGGAUGAGUCUAUAGACUUUAUAAAGAAAUAAAAGAGUCCAAACAAGUCCAAACAAAAAAAUGAGAGAAAAGAGAGAAGGGACAAUGUUACUAUCCUUUUUCCACACUUCUGUUUCAAAGUAGCACCAUGUUCUUCAUGAUAGAGAGUCUCCUAUUUGUUGAAUUUCAUAUAUUCAAAUGAGGGGCUUCCUCAAAUUUCCCUAGGUCUUCAUGAGCAAGCAAGUUGGAUGCACACCCACUUAGUUUGUUUUUGAGCUUUCAUACACUUAUAGCUCUAGUGCAUCCGUUGCAUGGCAAUCCCUACUCACUCGUGUUGAUACCUAUUGAUGGGCAUCUCCAUAGC